rnacentral:rRNA from 1 species
AGUGAACGCUGGCGGUAGGCCUAACACAUGCAAGUCGAACGGCAGCACAGUAAGAGCUUGCUCUUACGGGUGGCGAGUGGCGGACGGGUGAGGAAUACAUCGGAAUCUACUUUUUCGUGGGGGAUAACGUAGGGAAACUUACGCUACUACCGCAUACGACCUACGGGUGAAAGCAGGGGAUCUUCGGACCUUGCGCGAUUGAAUGAGCCGAUGUCGGAUUAGCUAGUUGGCGGGGUAAAGGCCCACCAAGGCGACGAUCCGUAGCUGGUCUGAGAGGAUGAUCAGCCACACUGGAACUGAGACACGGUCCAGACUCCUACGGGAGGCAGCAGUGGGGAAUAUUGGGCAAUGGGCGCAAGCCUGAUCCAGCCAUACCGCGUGGGUGAAGAAGGCCUUCGGGUUGUAAAGCCCUUUUGUUGGGAAAGAAAAGCAGCAGGUUAAUACCCCGCUGUUCUGACGGUACCCAAAGAAUAAGCACCGGCUAACUUCGUG